GACGAACGCUGGCGGCCCGUUUAACACAUGCAAGUCGAACGAGCGAGAGAGAGCUUGCUUUCUCGAGCGAGUGGCGAACGGGUGAGUAACGCGUGAGGAACCUGCCUCAAAGAGGGGGACAACAGUUGGAAACGACUGCUAAUACCGCAUAAGCCCACGACCCGGCAUCGGGUUGAGGGAAAAGGAGCAAUCCGCUUUGAGAUGGCCUCGCGUCCGAUUAGCUAGUUGGUGAGGUAACGGCCCACCAAGGCGACGAUCGGUAGCCGGACUGAGAGGUUGAACGGCCACAUUGGGACUGAGACACGGCCCAGACUCCUACGGGAGGCAGCAGUGGGGAAUAUUGCACAAUGGGGGAAACCCUGAUGCAGCGACGCCGCGUGGAGGAAGAAGGUCUUCGGAUUGUAAACUCCUGUUGUUGAGGAAGAUAAUGACGGUACUCAACAAGGAAGUGACGGCUAACUACGUGCCAGCAGCCGCGGUAAAACGUAGGUCACAAGCGUUGUCCGGAAUUACUGGGUGUAAAGGGAGCGCAGGCGGGAAGACAAGUUGGAAGUGAAAUCUAUGGGCUCAACCCAUAAACUGCUUUCAAAACUGUUUUUCUUGAGUAGUGCAGAGGUAGGCGGAAUUCCCGGUGUAGCGGUGGAAUGCGUAGAUAUCGGGAGGAACACCAGUGGCGAAGGCGGCCUACUGGGCACCAACUGACGCUGAGGCUCGAAAGUGUGNGUAGCAAACAGG
rnacentral:rRNA from 1 species